rnacentral:rRNA from 1 species
GACGAACGCUGGCGGCGUGCUUAACACAUGCAAGUCGAACGAAAAGAGGGAAAGAGCUUGCUCUUUCCGGAAUUGAGUGGCAAACGGGUGAGUAACACGUAAACAACCUGCCUUCAGGAUGGGGACCACAGACGGAAACGACUGCUAAUACCGAAUAAGUUCCAAGGGCCGCAUGGCCCAUGGAAGAAAAGGUGGCCUCUACCUGUAAGCUAUCGCCUGAAGAGGGGUUUGCGUCUGAUUAGCUGGUUGGAGGGGUAACGGCCCACCAAGGCGACGAUCAGUAGCCGGUCUGAGAGGAUGAACGGCCACACUGGAACUGAGACACGGUCCAGACUCCUACGGGAGGCAGCAGUGGGGAAUCUUCCGCAAUGGGCGAAAGCCUGACGGAGCAACGCCGCGUGAGUGAUGACGGCCUUCGGGUUGUAAAACUCUGUGAUCCGGGACGAGAAGGCAGAGUGCGAAGAACAAACUGCAUUGACGGUACCGGAAAAGCAAGCCACGGCUAACUACGUG